CACAGUGGGCUCUCACAGCUCCCAGACUGCACCCCAUCACAAGCAUCUCAAGCCUACUGACACAGUGAUGUGAAUGUCAGAAACACUGUAUAAGAAGAGGAUUUUUUCAAAGUAAAAUCUUACUGCAAGAGAAAUCUGCCCUCUACUGUCCCAGGUCUCAACAGGUGCAACAGACCAGAUCGAGAUGCCUCCGUAUCUGAUCUGAGGACCAGCCCCUUAUCAACCAAUCUUCGAGGUACAGGUAGAUUUGGACUCCCUGACCUUGGAGGUGGAAGGCCAGAGCUAUACGGAUGUCGAGAGUGUGAAGGGAUGCUUCCCAGGCAUCAGCGUGCAGUUUUGGAAAAAACACAAUGAACAGUCUCACCUGUGGACCCUGGCCUUAUGAGUGCCCAAGAAUUCCCCAUGCUGGAGCAGCGCUUGCUACGAGCCCUCAAGGACAAGGCUAGAAGGUCCGGGACUGUCCACAGCAGAAGGGCCGUAAGCAUUGAUUCUUGCUUGCUUGCUGGAAAGCACAUAUUUAGUAAUGUGUUAAGGCUGGGAAGCUUAUUAUACUUUGGCAAUAAAACUGGUUAUACUUA